AAAUACUUUGGUUUAUUCUUUAAUUUUUAAUUAUUCAAUGCUGAGAUAAAAAAUACUUAAAAAUAUUAAUGCAGAUAAUUAAUAAUAGUUACAGAUGAUAAGUGAGUUUGUGUUCUUCAAUAAUUAUGUAUUAUAAAUUAUUUUUUAAUAUAACUUUUAAUAUUAAAGUCUAGAACAUUAAUCUAUAAAUCGUAACGAUUAACUAUAAUAUUAUCUGCCCGCCGCACUGCACGGGUUUCCUAACUAGUAUAUAUUAAUUUCAAACUUUCUUAAAAUUAUAUUACCCUUUUUAUCAAAUAAUUCAACACUACAAUAGCUUCUACUAUCUUCAUAUGAAAGAUUUUACCAGUUUA
rnacentral:lncRNA from 1 species